GACGAUCGGUAGCCGGACUGAGAGGUUGAUCGGCCACAUUGGGACUGAGACACGGCCCAGACUCCUACGGAGGGCAGCAGUGGGGGAUAUUGCACAAUGGAGGAAACUCUGAUGCAGCGACGCCGCGUGAGGGAAGACGGUCUUCGGAUUGUAAACCUCUGUCUUUGGGGAAGAAAAUGACGGUACCCAAAGAGGAAGCUCCGGCUAACUACGUGCCAGCAGCCGCGGUAAUACGUAGGGAGCGAGCGUUGUCCGGAAUUACUGGGUGUAAAGGGAGCGUAGGCGGGCGAGAAAGUUGAAUGUUAAAUCUACCGGCUUAACUGGUAGCUGCGUUCAAAACUUCUUGUCUUGAGUGAAGUAGAGGCAGGCGGAAUUCCUAGUGUAGCGGUGAAAUGCGUAGAUAUUAGGAGGAACACCAGUGGCGAAGGCGGCCUGCUGGGCUUUAACUGACGCUGAGGCUCGAAAGCGUGGGGAGCAAACAGGAUUAGAUACCCUGGUAGUCCACGCUGUAAACGAUGAUUACUAGGUGUGGGGGGACUGACCCCUUCC
rnacentral:rRNA from 1 species